GUGGUGAUUUGUUUAGGGUUCUUGUUGGAUUUUAAUAUAACAUAAAUGGGUCUAUCGUCACAUUGGUGCAUUGUUGUUUGAAGUUCUUAUUACGACUAAUUGUCUUUCAUCUAAGAAUGAUGUGGUGCAUUGUUACUAUAAAUAGAAUUAAAGUUUAAUUUCAGCUUGAUUUCAUUUUAAUAGGCAGAUUGUGGUGUUGUGUUGGAAAUUUAUUUUAA
rnacentral:lncRNA from 1 species